GCAUAUCAAUAAGCGGAGGAAAAGAAACCAACAGGGAUUGCCUCAGUAACGGCGAGUGAAGCGGCAAAAGCUCAAAUUUGAAAUCUGGCUCUUUCAGGGUCCGAGUUGUAAUUUGUAGAAGAUGUUUCGGGUGUGGUCCCAGUCUAAGUUCCCUGGAACUGGACAUCACAGAGGGUGAGAAUCCCGUAUGUGACUGGGUACCUACGUCCAUGUGAAACUCUUUCGACGAGUCGAGUUGUUUGGGAAUGCAGCUCAAAAUGGGUGGUAAAUUUCAUCUAAAGCUAAAUAUUGGCCAGAGACCGAUAGCGCACAAGUAGAGUGAUCGAAAGAUGAAAAGCACUUUGGAAAGAGAGUUAAACAGUACGUGAAAUUGUUGAAAGGGAAGGGCAUGCAAUCAGACUUGCGCCUAGUUGAUCAUCCGGGCUUUUGCCCGGUGCACUCGAUUAGGCUCAGGCCAGCAUCAGUUUAGAGGGUUGGAUAAAGGCCUUGGGAAUGUGGCCCCUCUCGGGGGGUGUUAUAGCCCAAGGUGCAAUGCAGCCACUCUGGACUGAGGACCGCGCUUCGGCUAGGAUGCUGGCGUAAUGGUUGUAUGCCGCCCGUCUUGAAACACGGACCAAGGAGUCUAACAUCUAUGCGAGUAUUUGGGUGUUAAACCCAUAUGCGUAAUGAAAGUGAACGGAGGUGAGAGCCCUUAAGGGUGCAUCAUCGACCGAUCCUGAUGUCUUCGGAUGGAUUUGAGUAAGAGCAUAGCUGUUGGGACCCGAAAGAUGGUGAACUAUGCGUGAAUAGGGUGAAGCCAGAGGAAACUCUGGUGGAGGCUCGCAGCGGUUCUGACGUGCAAAUCGAUCGUCAAAUUUGCGUAUAGGGGCGAAAGACUAAUCGAACCAUCUAGUAGCUGGUUCCUGCCGAAGUUUCCCUCAGGA
rnacentral:rRNA from 1 species